GAAAACUGAACACAGGGUCUUGCACACGAAAAGUGAGCACUCUACCACAGCGCUACACCUCUAGCCCAUUUUCACCUCUACUGAAUUCUGCAGGACAGAAAAGGGCACAGACUGGCAGAAACAUAAAGUCUAGGAAAAUAAAAACAUCACUUCUUUGUGGGCUCAGUAAAUGGAAACAGGAAACAUCCAAAUACGUCUCCAAGUCCACUCACAAGCAUUCUAACCAUCUUACUGCAGCCCCAGAGAUCUCACUACCUCCACAGAGUCUCGGUAUGCAGCCCAAGCUGGACUCCAACUUGUAACACUUCCAGGUCAUCCUCACUAGUGCUGGACUUACAGGAAUGCAACACCACACCCAGACUGGUGACUCCAAGUGUGACCAAGAAAAAUGCAGCAGUAACACACAGCUUGUGUUGAGUCCUUACCAUGUACCAGACAUUGCACCAAAAUAUUUACAGGCACUGAAGCCUGUAAAGAGCAGUGUGGUCCUGCGGCUCCUACCAGGAAGAUUAGGAAUGAAAGCAAAAAAAAUGAAAUCAAGAAUGAAAGCAGAAAGGUCUUCUGGGGUUAUUCCUCUAGAGCCCCAAACGUCUGGGAUUCAAAGGAAUUAGAGAUGCAGCAACACAACUCUGAUGUCAAUGGGCUCCUCUAUCUCUGUGUUUCUAAGUCCCAAAUGUGUCACUGCAGAUUCUUCCCAACAACAGAAAGAAUGUGUUUCUAUCACGCUGGAGCUCUCUGGUGACAGGCACUCUUUGAAAACAAGCCAAUUACCCAAUGUUACUUUGAUAAAUUAUGCCGCACCUAGCAUUUUAUUGUUGUAUUUCUCAUAUUCUUAGGAGUAAAAAUUUUUGCUUUCAUUAAGUCAAAAACCCAAUUCUUUGUCU